rnacentral:lncRNA from 1 species
AAAAAACACACGGUCAAACAUAAUGAGACAAUUGGAUUAGACAGAAAAAAACCUUCUAUCGGCAACUACAAUAGUUGGCAUCUAAGCCUCUUCCUUUUAUCAUGUCAUCAUCGGCUUCACCGUUACUUGCGAUCUCUCCAGGUUUUCUAUUGCCUUUAUCAUCCAACACAUAUCUUUAUAUAAUCACCACUUUCCUUUGGUUUCAAGGAAUCAAGCUAUAAUAUUUGGAGCAAAAGCUUACUGAUUCAAGGCCAAACAGUUUAGAAGUCAAAUAAAGUACAGUCAAGUGUUAAUAAUUUUCUAGCAUUUCUCAUUAGUGGGGUGACCAUGCCAGUACUCCAGCAAAAUCUGGAGUAGAAUCACCCUCAUCUCUUACCAUAAUAAUACAUACACAUCACUGUAUGCGAAUAAAUUUCAAUCAACUUUACCUGAAAACAUGCAUAAGAAACACACCCUGCUUUACCAACUCUGCAGUUUUUAUGUUGUACAUCGUCAUCACAGGUCUUGUAGGAGUCCAUAAGUGCCUUGAAGGUCCACUAUAAGGGUAUAGUAUGUGUGUCAAACGAAAUAGAAUCAACUGAAUAAAUAGAUGUCAACUCGAUCCAUGUCGUUUCAGACCGGAUCAAUUGAAACGGGGAAAACGUACCUGAGAAAACACCCGCAAAAGCAUAGGCUUUUUUCAAUGAGUUAAUC